rnacentral:lncRNA from 10 species
CUCGCCCGCGCGCGCCGGCGCCCCCUCCCCGCCACGUGACCGGCGUCCCAGUCCGACCCGCGCGCUGCGCCCCUGCUGAGCGGCGCGGAGCUACCACGCCCUGCCAGACUCGCCCUUGGGUCCCUGUCUGACGAGCUCUAGGCAAUCUGCCCUCGUUCGGGACACAACCAUCGGUCUCACCCCUCAGUUUCUGCCAGAGAAAAAGGAAAAGUCACCGAGAGGCCUGACCCUGACGGGUGGGGGAGAUGCGCGUGCGGAGUAGCGGGAAGCGACUGAGGAGCGGGGAAUGGGCAGCAUUUGAAUGGAUGCGGGUGCCGCUGGCACCCGGGAAGACGCUGGGGGCCGGCGCUGUAGAGCCGGGCAUGGGCUGGGAUGUGUUUGGAUUCCAAUCCGGGCCUGACACCAGUUCAGUGACCUCGGGAAGUUCCCCAACCCUCCGGGCCUGUUUCCUCCCUCUGAAGUGGCGACAGUAGUAGAACCGACCUCGUAGGCUCAUCGGGAGGUCCUGAUGGGAGAACCCAUGCAACUUGCCACCAUAGAGCCAGGCCCGCGGCGGUUGGCGCCUGGUGGGUAUUAAAGACGAGUCGGGAAAGAAGAGCAGGUUGAUAGACUGGAUGCUGCUAUGGUAAUCUGCCUCAGGAAAAUGCCGGACUGUUGUUUGCAAGCUGGUUAAGUGAGCAAAUCUUGGGAAGAUUUCAAGUUUUUAUCUUCAGGAAACUCCCAAGCAUUCUGGAAGCUCUGCAUGUGAGUAAGAACCACUGCUGUUGCUGUUGCUGUAGCUGCCUGAAUCUAUGGCAAAAAGCCAGGAAAAAAAAAUUGCUUCACACCAUGUGCACCGACUCCCCUGGAGCUGGCACCACCAGGGCGUCUGCAGAGCUAUGUCUGACAGUCCUGCCAUUUCCUAACUUCUCCUGUGUGGUCAUCCACCUACCUUUGGGAACCUCCAGUCAUUACUCACAGAGUUGGUCUCAUCCUGGGAACUCUCUCUUGCCUCUCCCAGUGGUUCAUUCUCCAAGUCUGAGUUAUUUGGUCAAAAAAACCUCCAAAUGCUUCAGACAACUCUCGCAAACUUGUCAUAGCUUUUGGUAUUCCAGGCCACAGAAGAGCCCAGGUGGGUACAUGGGCCCUCCAAGUGUUUGUUUCCUCACCACUGUGAGUGACAAAUAUGCUUCUUUAUCCUUAAAAUUGUCCAGCCAGUAACUGUUGGAACACACUGACCUAGAUCCACACAUGCAAACACACCUUUCAAGGGCAAAUGUUAAUUCACAAAGACAAUUGUAAAAUCUAAGCUAAAGUUCACAAAUGGGAGCUGCCUUUGAAGUGAAUUCAGCCCACAGACAUCUUUGAUUAGCACCGUGUGUUGUUGUUGUUGCUGUUUUAAAUUUUUUUUUUUUUUUUUUUUUUUUGAGACAGCGUUUUGCUCUUG